rnacentral:rRNA from 1 species
AUUGAACGCUGGCGGCGUGCUUAACACAUGCAAGUCGAUCGGUAACAGGUGUAGCAAUACAUGCUGACGAGAGGCGGACGGGUGAGUAAUGCUUGGGAAUCUGCCUAUUAGUGGGGGACAACCCGGGGAAACUCGGGCUAAUACCGCAUACGCUCUACGGAGGAAAGCCGGGGACCGCAAGGCCUGGCGCUAAUAGAUGAGCCCAAGUCGGAUUAGCUAGUUGGUAGGAACGGCCUACCAAGGCGACAAUCCGUAGCUGGUCUGAGAGGACGACCAGCCACACCGGAACUGAGACACGGUCCGGACUCCUACGGGAGGCAGCAGUGGGGAAUAUUGGACAAUGGGGCAACCCUGAUCCAGCGACGCCGCGUGGGUGAAGAAGGCCUGCGGGUU